rnacentral:rRNA from 1 species
UACGAAGGGGGCUAGCGUUGCUCGGAAUUACUGGGCGUAAAGGGCGCGUAGGCGGAUAGUUUAGUCAGAGGUGAAAGCCCAGGGCUCAACCUUGGAAUUGCCUUUGAUACUGGCUAUCUUGAGUUCGGGAGAGGUGAGUGGAAUGCCGAGUGUAGAGGUGAAAUUCGUAGAUAUUCGGCGGAACACCGGUGGCGAAGGCGGGUCUCUGGGCCGAUACUGACGCUGAGGAGCGAAAGCGUGGGGAGCGAACAGG